AGAGUUUGAUCCUGGCUCAGGAUAAACGCUAGCGGCAGGCCUAACACAUGCAAGUCGAGGGGCAGCAGGGAAGUAGCUUGCUACUUCUGCUGGCGACCGGCGCACGGGUGCGUAACGCGUAUGCAACCUACCUUUAACAGGGGGAUAACACUGAGAAAUUGGUACUAAUACCCCAUAAUAUCAUAGAAGGCAUCUUUUAUGGUUGAAAAUUCCGAUGGUUAGAGAUGGGCAUGCGUUGUAUUAGCUAGUUGGUGGGGUAACGGCUCACCAAGGCGACGAUACAUAGGGGGACUGAGAGGUUAACCCCCCACACUGGUACUGAGACACGGACCAGACUCCUACGGGAGGCAGCAGUGAGGAAUAUUGGUCAAUGGACGCAAGUCUGAACCAGCCAUGCCGCGUGCAGGAUGAAUGUGCUAUGCAUUGUAAACUGCUUUUGUACGAGGGUAAAAACAGGUACGUGUACCUGGUUGAAAGUAUCGUACGAAUAAGGGUCGGCUAACUCCGUGCCAGCAGCCGCGGUAAUACGGAGGACCCGAGCGUUAUCCGGAUUUAUUGGGUUUAAAGGGUGCGUAGGCGGAUUGGUAAGUUAGAGGUGAAAGCUCAGCGCUUAACGUUGAAACUGCCUCUGAUACUGUCGGUCUAGAGUAUAGUUGCGGAAGGCGGAAUGUGUGGUGUAGCGGUGAAAUGCUUAGAUAUCACACAGAACACCGAUUGCGAAGGCAGCUUUCCAAGCUAUCACUGACGCUGAGGCACGAAAGCGUGGGGAGCGAACAGGAUUAGAUACCCUGGUAGUCCACGCCGUAAACGAUGAUAACUCGUUGCAGGCGAUACACAGUCUGUGACUUAGCGAAAGCGUUAAGUUAUCCACCUGGGGAGUACGUUCGCAAGAAUGAAACUCAAAGGAAUUGACG
rnacentral:rRNA from 1 species